GUCAGCUCUGCUCACUGAAUGUUUUCUCCUCUCCUGCCUAACGCUUCCUCUCGUCGAUGCCUUCCUUCAGGCCUGUCCCUCCAGAUCUCCCUCCAACUCUCAGACGUAGGCAUGUGCUUAGGUCUCUCAAACGCAGGUUGCCAAGAAUUCCAGCACGAGGGGACUUGCAAGGGCAAGGAGAAUCGCAUCACGCUGCUGCCUAAAUUACUGGUGUGCUGCAAUUUCUACAAAUUUGUCUGAUCUGUGCAAGGAGGAGUUCUGCAAAUCGACACCUCGUCAUGCCCAAAAGGUGUAUCACUCUUCCUCCGGUGAUGUGCUGUGUUUCAUGUUGGCAACAGCUUGUGUUUGUCAGAGCAAUGCUUGGUUCCUACCAGUGUUGGGUUUGAUUUAUUUCGAUUGCAAUCGGGUGGACACUAACACCCUUCUUGGCAGUUUAACGACAGUUCUAUUGCACAGCAAGCUUGAUGCCUUGAAUGUGAUAAAUUUAUUCAUGAUAUUCAGUGUGCUAAUUCUUUGUGCUGA